rnacentral:lncRNA from 1 species
UGCCUCUUCAGCUGCUUCAGAACUACAUAUUCCUGAUGGGGACCAUGUGAGUCUGUCUCUUACAACGAGACUGAUCUGAUCAGGGAGUUACAGACCAUGUGCUCCAGCAAGUCAGAGCCAGACAUCAGCAAGAUUGCUCAGUCCAAGGAGGACUUCAUUGUCUUCUCUGGCUCUCCAAAUGGACAAUCGCCCCGCCGCAGGACCGACCAUGAAGCAAUCGCUCAACCACAGAUGACUGGCAGCUGUCACUCCACCCCCAUCCCUGCCCUAGGCAGCCCCUUGCAACAAGAGGCGAUCGACGUCCUACCCAUAUCCCAGCUCCCUGUCUCCAGCAGCAGGUGA